UUGGAAUUUGGUCAUGGUUUGAUGAUUUUUUGCAGAGUUUAUGUCCCUUUCACUUUGAAAAUAAUAUAGAUACAUCUUAGGAAUAAGCAGUUUAAGUUUGAAUUUGGUUGUGGUUCAAUGAUUUUAGACAAACUUAUCUUUCCUGAAUGUUGGAAAAAUUUUGAACUUUCAGUUUCAGCACUCAUAAUUUUAGCCAUUAUUUCGGCUACAAAUAUGCAAUAUGCUAUUUUUAAAAGGUUAAGACUGAAUAAUUUCAGUGCCUUGAACAUUGUAUGAAAAUGGUUUGUGUUAACAUUGAAAAGUUUUAAGGGCUUUGAACUUAAAAUGAAAAAAAUAAUUAAUGCACCAUCUGAAAUUUUGGCUGCAUGCGGGGGCAUCCGUGGCAUGAUGACACAUUUCUAGUUUCCUUCUUCUUCACUAAACCUGACCGAGGAUGAAUUGUCUUUUUAAAUUCUUCCUUGUUUGUAUAUGCACCAAAAAAGUUGACCUGUAAAUGUUGCUUUCGUUUUGUCUGUACAUGUGUCUUUAUUUUUUACAUUGUUUUACCACACCUGUAGAGGUUCUGCUACCUUCCAAUGCUAAAUAUUUUAAUUGAACAUGUCCAUCUUCCUAUUUUUGUACAAAUCUAUUCAUUAUUUUUAGGGCAAAAUUGCAGAAUGAAUAUUAAUUGAAUAUUGUAACCAGUGCAGAUUGUUAUCGGACAGAUGUGUUGGUCUGAACUGGUGGCAUAGGUAGAUUUAAUUACAACCAGUUAGCUAAGGGAUGACCAGAAUGAAUGACUUGUAUUUUGUUGUGCAAGUCACGUCCGAGGUUAGCAAAAAUCAUCUUUCCUGUUCUGGCGCCAUAUAACUGAAAUUGUGUUGGUGCACCGUAAAAUCAAACAAAACAUGCUUUCCUUCUACUUUACUUUCUGUGGGCUUUUUUUUGCAUGCUAUCUUUAGGUUCAAAAGGGAAAGUAUAUGCCUUGUUGGGUUUCUUCUUUCAAACUACCUACAAUGUAUAAGUUUGUAGGGCAUGAUUUCCCUAACAGCUUUUUUUCACACCAGAUACUGUUGUGGUGAUAAAACAACUUGUAGCUUUUACUGUUGGUGUAAUAAUUUAGAUAAACAAUUUUACAAAGACUAUUCACACAUUCUCAUUACUUUGGAUAAUUUUAUUUUCAUAUAGUUACUUACCUAAUGAUAACGAUAAGAAUUAUCCAUGUUGUGCUCACUUGUCAAGAAAAUGGUAGUGCAGGAUUAUGUAUAAUAACGAUUACAAUAUGAUUUCUGAAAUCUUGAAAAGCAGGUGCUUGGUAAUUGAAUUAAGAAAACCAAUUAAUGAUUAUAGAAGUAAAAUCAAUUAGUUCUAUAAGUGACAGUUGUGUGAUAUUGGUACAGAAAUAACUAGAUUAGGUUAUUUAUACAUAUAAUUAUAUAAACUGACCAUGUUGACAAUUAGAAAAAUUAAUUUGCUGUAUGUCUUGUUUUGCUGGUGGGAACAGAUAGGGUGGGUGUGGGGGGAGUAAAGGAAUCACAGUGAAAUGAUGACAAGUGUUUAGUGUGAAGAUAGGUUUGUUUUGUUUUUGUAUUAUUCUGAUGCAAAAGUAUUUUGUGCCUUCACUUUUCAUUUUAGUUAACAACAAACAGCAAAAAUAUGCACAGCUUCCAGACUUACUAAUGUUUUAUUAAAAAAUAUAAUUUCUUUUUGUUGAUCAAGAAAUCAAAGUUUGGUGGUUGGUUUUUUAUGUGUGAUGGAAGUUAAAAGAAUUUUCACAAAUCUUGUUGCUUUUCUUUUGUCUGUCCAAGGAAUAUGAUUUUUAUUGUUAUUUACAGAUAAAUAAAUUGAUUGAUUCUAAUUUAAAUUACAUUCAUGAAUAAAAUCAGGGAACAGUUAAUAGUUUGGAUACAUCAAAUCAUUUAAUAACAAUAAAGAAUUGCAUAAAUUCUGUAUUCUAGCAAAAAGUAAAAUUUCCUAAAUCAAUUUUGUGAAAUUCUUCUAUAGAAUUUUAAUGCUUGUAUAGCUGGUUGCCCCCUAGACAGUAUUGUUCUUAUUCUUUAACCUGCUGAAUUGGGAACAAAGCCUCUCUUUGAAUUCACAACAGUCCAUUCAGAGUGAAAGGGGUUUUAAUAUCAAAAUACAAAAAUAUGAUCUACCAACAGUAUAUAGAGCCUGGUCAGAUUGCACUGAAGUGCAGGCUGGCCUGGCUCUAUACUGGUGGCAAAGGCUAAUUACUUUCAAUUCUAGCAUGUUUAGGGUUAAAUUGAGACUAGUGUUUAGCUCGACUAUUCGAUAAGAAUAAGUAGAGCUAUUGUAGUCACCCGAGUGUCGGCGUAACCACUUAUGUUAAAGUUUUUGUAAUACCUCAAAUAGUUUCAAAGUCCAUUGACAUAUGGCUUUGAAACUUUGCACACUUGUUCACCAUCAUGACCCCCAACCUGUAGACAGGAGGAGGUAACUGUAUCAAGCAUUUUGACAGAAUUAUGCCCCUUUUUCGACAUAGAAUUUACACGAAAGUUUUUGUAAUACCUCAAAUAUUGUCAAAGUCCAUUGACAUAUGGCUUUGAAACUUUGCACACUUGUUCACCAUCAUGACCCCAACCUGUAGACAGGAGGAGGUAACUGUAUCAAGCAUUUUGACAGAAUUAUGCCCCUUUUUCGACUUAGAAUUUGCAUUUAAGUUUGCAUACCACCUCAGAUAUUUUCAUAUUCUAUUGACAUCUGCCUUUGAAACACAGUGGACUCUCUUCAAUACCUAUAACUCUAACAUGGAUUUAAAGAAAAAAUUUGCCCUUUUGUUAACUUAGAAAAUUUUACAUUAUCAAGGCUUUUUUUACUAUCAAGCACUAAGAAUAGUCGAGCGUUGCUGUCCUACCGACAGCUCUUGUUUACUACAUUAUAGCACUGAAUCGAUUUACGUUUAAAUAUGCACUUUAUGUUUUGUUUUUUUCCUUGUACAUUUAUAUGCAACACUAUUGAGAAAUUUGUGUUAAUACAUAAAAAAAACUUACACACAGGGUAUAUGCUAUACUAAAAAGUGUGCAUAGAAUAUAAAUACAUAAUUGACUGAAUAAAGUUUGUAAAAAUAGAAUAA